rnacentral:SRP_RNA from 11 species
CAUCGAACUCUCGUCCUGGUUGCGAUCUGCGUCGCGCUCGUCAUGCUCUGCGGAGCCGAGGCGGCGGCGCCCAAGAAGAGCAGCAGCGCACCAGGAAAGAGUGCAGGGCUCGGCCAGGUGGUGAUGGACUUGAUCUCGCCGGUGACUA